AGGACAAGUACCGCUACCGUUACCCCAAGGGAGAGUCCUACGAGGACCUGGUGCAGCGGUUGGAGCCGGUGAUCAUGGAGCUGGAGCGGCAGGAGAACGUUCUGGUCAUCUGCCACCAGGCGGUCAUGCGCUGCCUGCUGGCCUAUUUCCUGGACAAGAGUGCAGAUGAGCUGCCCUACCUCAAGUGUCCCCUGCACACCGUGCUAAAGCUGACCCCGGUGGCCUACGGUGAG